UUUGGUGGAAGUAAAAAAAUCGUAACAAGGUCUCCGUAGGUGAACCUGCGGAGGGAUCAUUACACAAAUAUGAAGGCGGGCUGGAACCUCUCGGGGUUACAGCCUUGCUGAAUUAUUCACCCUUGUCUUUUGCGUACUUCUUGUUUCCUUGGUGGGUUCGCCCACCACUAGGACAAACAUAAACCUUUUGUAAUUGCAAUCAGCGUCAGUAACAAAUUAAUAAUUACAACUUUCAACAACGGAUCUCUUGGUUCUGGCAUCGAUGAAGAACGCAGCGAAAUGCGAUAAGUAGUGUGAAUUGCAGAAUUCAGUGAAUCAUCGAAUCUUUGAACGCACAUUGCGCCCUUUGGUAUUCCAAAGGGCAUGCCUGUUCGAGCGUCAUUUGUACCCUCAAGCUUUGCUUGGUGUUGGGCGUCUUGUCUCUAGCUUUGCUGGAGACUCGCCUUAAAGUAAUUGGCAGCCGGCCUACUGGUUUCGGAGCGCAGCACAAGUCGCACUCUCUAUCAGCAAAGGUCUAGCAUCCAUUAAGCCUUUUUUUCAACUUUGACCUCGGAUCCAGUAAGGAUCCCAAGUCC
rnacentral:rRNA from 1 species